AUAUAUAUAUAUAUAUAUAUAUAUAGGGUGGGGAUCUACAAAGAAUCCCCUUAGUAUAAAGAAUAAGGAAUUAAUCCUUACCAUAGGAUCUGAAUAAAUUAAUGGUCCAGAUUAGCACUAAUUAAUAAUUAAUCUACAUUAUUUUUUUUACUGAAUACCUUUAAAAAUUAUAUAUAAAAUCGUUGGGGGUAUGUUAGCCAUUUUGUCUAUUCAGAAAACUGUCAAUUCCUAAAUUAACUCCAGUAAAUUAGGACAUUUACUUUCACCCCCACUUUCAUCCACCAAACCAUCUUCCCCCCACUUUCGUCUGCCAAACCCUAGAGGCGACGGCGAUUCUAGUAAACCAGACGGCGCUCCAUCUAUAGCAGACGACGCUUCUGUUUUCGCCGGCGAAAAUCGAAUUUGAGAGAGAUUGUCCUUGAGCAAAGUGGUGGCGAUGCCGCAGGGAAUCGAAAGUGGGCAGCGGCGCCGCCCUCCAAUUUUCGUCGGAUUUCUCCGCAGUAAGGACAACUUGUGCUCCACAACGCCUCUGGCCCGACUACAGCUGGUUCGAAUCGGUCGUCGGCCACAUUUGGUGGUGCACGAGCACGGCGCACCCUGCCGCUCUGUUCUGCUGCCUUCUCGAGUCGACACCGAUUGACCUCGCUGAUGUUUGGGUGCAGUGAAAUAGGGUGAAGAAUGUGGAGAUUCAAGAACUUUUGCUUCUAUUUGGUUGUUCUCGACUUUUGCUGUGUUAGAGCAUUCUUGUACCAUUAAUGAAGAUUGAAUUAUUGUGUUUGAUUAUGUUAGAAAUUGGGUGAGUGAUUAUGAUAUAAUGGGGGAAGUUUACUGAUUGAGGAGGUUUGCAGAGGAACUCAAACAUGAUUGAGGGGGGGUUGAACGAUCGUCUGGGGAAGAAAGUUCGGGUGAAAGUUCAAGUAUUGUUAUUGACUCGUUCUCGUGUUGUAAUAUUCAAUUAAACUUAAAGUAUAUUCAUUAAGUUUCA